GCAGGGAUGCCUCCUGAGGACCUGCGGGAUAUCCCAGGUGGUGGUUUGGGGACAAACUCCAUUUGAAACCUGUACGCGAGGAGACGACAGUGAGCGGUGGGACGCAGCGCUCCACCAAUCCUUGUUGCUCUCUCUGAUUGCCUGCUGACAGGCCCAUUUUCAUGCUGCAUGAUGGCCACUGCUUUCUAAAGGCUUCAGCAGGGCCAGGCUGAGAGCAACCUGAUGUGGCGGUAGGUGUCCCUGUUCCCUGCAGGGGAGUGGGACUAGGUGCCCUUUCCGGGUUCCUUCCAGCUCAAAUGAUGCGAUGAUUCUAUGCCAUAUCCUCGUGGGCAGGGCAGGGACACCCAUGGUCACAAGGAACAAAUGCUACGGCAUGAGAGCUGAGCAGCUGCAGCAAGCAGCAGCUACAGCCCCCAACAUACUCACUUGGGAAAGACGACGAGGCAGCCAGAGAGUGCCAGGGAGGCCACCGGUGCCGCUCGGGACACCACCAUGUCCAGCAGCCAGGGGGCCUGCAGGGGAGGAACAGGGAGGAUGUGGGACGUCCUUGUGACGGCUGAGGCACUGGGCGCACAAGGAGCCCAAGGCAGGGAGGGCUGACGGCACCGCAGCACUUGCACGGCGCGAGCAGCUGGCCAGGUGCUGGUGGUAGAAAGCUACAGCUCACCUUGAGAAGAGCUUUCCUGAACUUCUCUUUCCCUGACAGCUUCUCAAGGAAGUCGUAAUAGAAUUUCAUGUGGAAGGUCAGUCCAUCGAUGUGGAGCACUCCAAUGUCCUUGAAGACAACGGCAACGUUCUCCCCAUUCUUCAGGCAGCCAGAGAGCAGGGACACGGUGCUUUGGAUGCAAGCCUGCGCUGUCUGCCAGGUCACAGAGGCAGCUGCGGCCACCUCGCUGCUCUUGAGCGGCUCCAGCUUCCUAUGGGCUGAAAAAUGGGAGGGACGGAGUUGAUGAUACGGUUGGUUUUCCGCAGUGCUUCCCUGGAACUGCUUCUUGUGGCCAUCAGCCAGAACGGCCCAUGUUUGGCUGGGCUCCUCCGAGGGGGAGGUUUGCUUUGGAGAAUGGAGGCGGUGGCCCUGUUGGCCCUGUGCGUGAAGCCAGCAAAGCUUUAAUCCUCCCUCCUACCUGGCAGGGACUCCCUGCGGGGCUUGAGGUGGUGCACGGCUAUGAGGUUUCCAGACAAGUGAAAGACGGGCCACCGCAGAGUCACGGUCCCGUCCUCAGUCCUGAUGUCUCUGGAGAUGGUGUCAAAGGAUCCGAAGGUGGGAAUCCAGACCCCCUACAAGUGGUAGAGAAAGGAAGGGCGGCAGGGUUAUGGGCCGGCUGGCUGGAGGAAGAGCCCAUGUAGCGGUCCAAGGCAGGGACGGAGCUCAGGAGCCCUCUCCCGCUGUUCAGAGGCACGAGCCAGGGCAUCGGAAUGGCUUUGGGAAGGGGCUGCACAGUCCUCUCCUUCCCCUCGCCCUCCCAAAUGCAGCACAGCAGUCAGGGCAGAAGCAGCCUGAUGGGAUCCAGAGGCUUCCCGCGAGCGGGAUCAGCCCUGAGACAGGACAGCGCCCAGCACAAGUGAUCCUGCGGGAUUUGCAGGAAGCCCAUGGCAUGCCCAGUAGAGACACGUGGGGUGAUUUCCUGCUUUCUGUGGAGGGGAAGAGUGGGAGGAAGUCUUGGCUGAGGCGGACAGGGAGAGGAGGAACCCGGCAGCCAACCCACCUUCUGCACCAGGAGGUGCUCUUGUACGUAGGCGGCCACUGCAUCCCAGACGGCAACUCGCUCUGGAGGGCAAAGGAAAAGCGGGUCACACUCUGCACCUGCCGCUUCCCGGCAGCCCUCCCGCUGCCAGGCGGGAGUGAGGUGGCAGAUGGAAAGUGUCGUCUGCGUGCCAGGAUUGGCUGCAGCAGCGCUCCUGUGGUGGCUGUGGAGCCGUGUACCUUCGGUGUCGGUGCAUGUGGGUCCGGAGGCACGCCUCGCUGCGGGGCCAUCCUCGCAGAAGCUCAUCCUGUUCCGCCUCGUGCCAGCGGGUUGCUCCUUGUUGGCGCCAGCCAUGCCGGAGCUCAUCCCUUCAGGUGCGUCUGCUCUCUACCAGAUGCUCCUUCAGGAUGCAGGACCCACCAGCGUGCACCGCCUUCAUACCCCUCCCGGGUGGCCGUGUCACAAACGUCGCCACGGCGACGCGGUGACAGCGUGGCCAGUGCUGGCCGCCGCCCAUGAUGACGCUGGCACCAGCAGCCUGCUGCCCACCCCGGGUGGCAGUGCUGGCACCUCUCUGUUUCCUCUCUCUUCUCUUCUUUGCUCUCCAUGUUAUGUGACUCGUUUUUCUUUCGUAGCCGUUGCCUGAAUUGAUCUUCAAGUUGUUGACACAGAAACAACACCUGUUCCAAAGGACUCUACGCGUAACGUUGAAGACCUGUUGCCAGAAGGUUUCUUAGUUUUGCCUGGCAGUUUUUUCCUUGAUUCUUUGUUGGAACGCUCACUGAAUUACCCGGCAUUGAUCCUCGACGUCAUUGUGGUGACUGCGUCGCACCCGCAACCCUAGCGGGCAGGGAGUGCUGUGUUUGGGGGAUCUGCACCUGCACUCCCCUUCUGCUGUCCUUUCUUCCCUGUAGCCUCGCUUGCUUUUGCAUUUGCACUUCUCUUAGGCUCUUGGUUCUUCCCUGUAUUCUCCCUGCUUUUCCGUCUGCAUUCUCACUCUUUUCCUGUUUUUUCUCUUCUGCUUCUCUUCUGCUGUUCUAUCCUCUGUGUAUCCUCACUGCUCUUUCAUCUCUAUCCGUGCUCUUCAGUGUUUUUUUCCCCUGCUUCCUCUCCGUACUUCGUCUGCCCUGCUUUUCUUCCCUGUAACGUGACGUCUCUUUUCUUCUGCAUCUGCUCUCCUCCUCCUCUUUCUUCCCUGUAUUCUCACUGUUCAUUCUCGUGCAGCUGUGCUCCUCUUCUGCUGUUCUUUCCUCCUUGUAUCCUCACUCUUCUGAUGGUUUCCAUUGCAUCUCACCACUGCACUUCCACCUGCAUCUGCUUUUCUCUUCUGCUGUAUGUUUCCCUGCUUCCUCACUCCUCUUUCUUCUGCAUUGGCUCUACUCUUCUGCUCUUCUUUCUUCCCUCACUCCUUUUCCAUCUGCCCACCUCUUAGGCUCUCCCUUCUUUUCUAUCCUCCCUGCUCUUUCCUCUGCAUUCUCACUCUUCUCCUGUUCUUAUUCCCCUGCAUCAUCCUCACUCCUUUUCCCUCUGCAUCAGCACUGCUCUUCUGUUGGAUUUUGUUUCCUGUUGCCAGACUUGUCUUUAUUCUGCAUCUGCACUCCUCUUCUACUGCUCUUUCUUCUCUGUAUCCUCUCUCCUCUUUCUUCUGCCUCUGCACUCCUCUCGCUUUGCUUUGUCCCCCGUAUUCUCACUUGUCUUUCUUCUGACUGCUCUCCUCUUCUGCUCUUUGUUGUUCCCAAGUUCAGAAGAAAGCCGGAGAGGAUUUCUGACCAAAGCACAGAGCAAGCGGCAUGGAGGAAUUGAAUCGGCACGGCCCAAAGUGAAAGAAGAGGGAUGGUCGUUUGAUGGAGAGUGCUUUUGUUACGGCCUGCAGAGCCUUUGGUGCAUCUUUUUAUUCCUUCAGGAUUUGUUAUGUUUUGUAGCACUAAGCUUAGGCCGUCCUUCUGGGGGUGAUGGGUGGAGCAGUGGCUGGAUAAGGAAGUGGCUGGAUGGUGGCACUCAGGGAGCUGCAGUCGGCGGCUCAGUGUCCAAGUGGAGCGCGGUGACGAGCGGCGUUCCUCAGGGCUCAGUGCUGGGAGUGGUGAUGGGAGCGGUGCCCUUGAACAUCUUGAUAGGCGACAGGGAGAGUGGGAUCGUGUGCACCCUCGUCGUGUGUGCAGGCGAUACUGAGCUGAGUGGUGCAGGUGAGGCGUUAGAGGGAAGGGAUGCUAUCCAGAGGGACGUGGAGAGCCUUAGAGGUGGGCCCAUGCCAGCGUGAGGAAGUUCAGCGAGGCCGAGAGCAAGGCCCUGCAUUUGGGUCGGGGUGAUCUCAACCCCAGGGUGAGCACAGCUGACGUGGGUUGGGUGGAGAAUGGCUGGAGAGCGGCCCCGUGGAGAAGGAUUUGGGAGUGUGGACUGCUGAGAGAUUGAGCGCGAGCUGGCAAGGUGUGCUCGCUGCCCAGAAGGCCAAGCGUAGCCUGGGUUGCGUGAAGAGGAAGAAGCGUGGAAGUGGGAGAGUGUAUGUUUAGACCAGGUGUUGGGAAGAAGUUCCUUACUGUGAGGCUGCCAUGGCAGACGUUUUCUUUGGAAUAUACAAGUGGUGUUCCAGGUAUCCUGUGAGGUCUUCAACAGUCACAUCAUCGACAUAGGUGGGAGCCUCCUCAGAAUAGGAUGUGGGAGAAGUCCACGAGGCUGUUUCACAGAGGGGUCUGUUAAGCGUGGAUAAGGAGAAACAAGCUGAGGUUUGGCUGUUGUGUGAGUCAGAGUGGAAGGAUGAGGGCAGAGCGAGGCAGUUCUCCCGUGACAGAGCGCAGUGUCUCCUGGUGGAGGCAGAAAUCCCCACCGUGCUCAGUGCUGUUCCCUGCCACCACGUCAGCCCACAUCCCCUGCUGGGGACAGCGUGCUGCCAGCAUAUGCCGGGUCACCUGCUGUCCGUGGGGACCGGGUAACGGCACGGAGCAGUGUGAGGACUGCAGCCCCGCUUAGCAGUGUGCCCCGUGGAUGUGGGGCUGCCCCAUGGCUGUGGCCGCUGCAGUGAGGGCUCCUGCGUGGGGCUGCGGUGUGUGCCUGCCUGCCUGCCAUCCCAGGGUGGGCCGGGAGAGGAGAGCAGCUGAGCUGGCAUGGUGCCUGCGCCUGGGGAGCUAUUUGGAGAUGCGUUUGAUGUCUCCGCCGCAAGGGUGAUGGAUGCUGGGGCGAACGUCGUGAUGGCACAGCCAACGCUCUGUGCUGGGCUUUGAAGUCUCCCGAGCGGAGCAUCCCAGCUCGCAGAUUUGGGAAGACAUGGACUACGGGGCAGGAGAUGCUACUUGCCAAGGCGGCUCCGUGAGGAGCAGCCUCAGAGCUCAACAUCCCAGCUGCACCCUGCUCCAGGAGGACGCAGGAGUUCCCCGUCAGCUGUCCCUUCCUCCGCAUCUCUGUCACUGUGUCCCCGGUGUGCAGAGCCCGGUGAGAUGCCGCCACGCACCGUGGGCUCCUGAAGCCAUGGAGCAGCACAGACCCAAGGAGGAGGACGAGCAGGCUGAGGUGAUGCUGCCCGUUGCUUGCAGUGGGUGCUGCAGCUUGCCUGGAGGAAGCCCCCACAAUAACUCAGGUAUGUCCUUCUCUUGGGGCUGCGCUCUGGCUUUUCUGGGCAAGUCUUGAGCAGGAGAAAGGCUUUGCUUUGGGCAGGAUUUCAGGCACUUGCUGUGCUCCGGGGAGUGUUGGCAGUAAGGAGAGUUCUGUGGGGCAUUUUGUCCCCCUUUUCCCUGCUGGAGCCCCACAUUGCGCCACUUCACACUUCAAAGUUCUGGGGGAAUUAUUCAUUAAUUAUUUAAUAGCUGACCAAUGACUAUUUUUUCCUUGUAAAGCCAGGUUUCAUCUGUAAGAUUGUCCCUCGGAGGGGAGGAGGAUGCUGGGAGCAGAGCCCACCGAGGGGCUCCCGUAUCUCCCUGCGGCCCCCCAAUCCCUUCCAGCAGCAGGACCUUGGAGCGGGGUGGCAGGGGCUGAGGGCUCCUGGGGUGCCCCAAGGAGGGCUCCUGGGGCUGUCAGCAGCACAAGAAUGAGAUCAUCCCCGUGGCAGCCCCAGGAACAUGGGCGGGUGGGAUCGGCGCGGUGGCCCUGCUGCAUCGGGCGCCUGCGGGUCCUUUGUGCGCAGAGCAGACGGGGACAUCCCUGCUCGCUGUGGGGCUCCACGGGGCCUCAUGUUGGGAUGGCUGUGUGCCCCCCAGGACCCCCUGGCAGCUCACAGCCCACCUACAGGAGAGCUGGGGGGAACUUGUUACAAGGGCAGGUAGCGACUGGACGAGGGGAAACGGCUUUGAAGUGGGAGAGUGUAGGUUGAGAGCAGCGACUGGGAAGAGAUUCCUGGACAGGUUCCCCAGCGAGUUUGUGACUGUCCCCUCCCUGGAGGCCUUCAAGGCCAGGCUGGAUGGGGCUGUGAGCAGCCUGGUCUCGAGGGAGGUGUCCCUACCUGCAGCAGGGGGUUGGAACGAGGUGAUCUCAGAGGCCCCUUCCGAAACAAACCAUUCUGCCAAUCUAUGAGACUAUAUACAGUUUUUAUUCGAGUUACAAAAAUAAACUGUAUUACUAUGUGACUGAAUAUGGCUUUCAGUUAAGUAUACAUCAUUUCAGCCACAGGAGUCUAUGCAACUAUGUACAGUUUUUCUCUUAAUUACAAAACUAAACUGUACAUGAAACAGAACAUUACAAAUAUGGCACAAACGAGCCAUUUAAAUUUCUGAUAACGCUUAGGACUGUGACUGUUUUUGCUGUUUGGUUAUGAAUACAUCAUUUCUGCCAUGGCAGACAUUUUCUUUGGUAUAUGCAGAUGGUGUUCCAGGUACCCUGCCAGGUCUUCCACAGUCACGUCACUGACAUAAGCGUGAGCCUCCACAGAACGGGAUGCGGGAGGGCUGCACAGGGCUGUUUCACAGAUGGAUCUGUGAAGCGUGGAUAAGGAAAGGAAAAGUGAGGUUUGGCUGUUGUGUGAGUCAGAGUGAGACGAUGAGGGCAGAGCGAGGCAGUUCUCCCGUGACAGAGCGCAGUGUCUCCUGGUGGAGGCAGAAAUCCCCACCGUGCUCAGUGCUGUUCCCUGCCACCACGUCAGCCCACAUCCCUGCUGGGGACAGCGUGCUGCCAGCAUAUGCCGGGUCACCUGCUGUCCGUGGGGACCGGGUAACGGCACGGAGCAGUGUGAGGACUGCAGCCCCGCUUAGCAGUGUGCCCCGUGGAUGUGGGGCUGCCCCAUGGCUGUGGCCGCUGCAGUGAGGGCUCCUGCGUGGGGCUGCGGUGUGUGCCUGCCUGCCUGCCAUCCCAGGGUGGGCCGGGAGAGGAGAGCAGCUGAGCUGGCAUGGUGCCUGCGCCUGGGGAGCUAUUUGGAGAUGCGUUUGAUGUCUCCGCCGCAAGGGUGAUGGAUGCUGGGGCGAACGUCGUGAUGGCACAGCCAACGCUCUGUGCUGGGCUUUGAAGUCUCCCGAGCGGAGCAUCCCAGCUCGCAGAUUUGGGAAGACAUGGACUACGGGGCAGGAGAUGCUACUUGCCAAGGCGGCUCCGUGAGGAGCAGCCUCAGAGCUCAACAUCCCAGCUGCACCCUGCUCCAGGAGGACGCAGGAGUUCCCCGUCAGCUGUCCCUUCCUCCGCAUCUCUGUCACUGUGUCCCCGGUGUGCAGAGCCCGGUGAGAUGCCGCCACGCACCGUGGGCUCCUGAAGCCAUGGAGCAGCACAGACCCAAGGAGGAGGACGAGCAGGCUGAGGUGAUGCUGCCCGUUGCUUGCAGUGGGUGCUGCAGCUUGCCUGGAGGAAGCCCCCACAAUAACUCAGGUAUGUCCUUCUCUUGGGGCUGCGCUCUGGCUUUUCUGGGCAAGUCUUGAGCAGGAGAAAGGCUUUGCUUUGGGCAGGAUUUCAGGCACUUGCUGUGCUCCGGGGAGUGUUGGCAGUAAGGAGAGUUCUGUGGGGCAUUUUGUCCCCCUUUUCCCUGCUGGAGCCCCACAUUGCGCCACUUCACACUUCAAAGUUCUGGGGGAAUUAUUCAUUAAUUAUUUAAUAGCUGACCAAUGACUAUUUUUUCCUUGUAAAGCCAGGUUUCAUCUGUAAGAUUGUCCCUCGGAGGGGAGGAGGAUGCUGGGAGCAGAGCCCACCGAGGGGCUCCCGUAUCUCCCUGCGGCCCCCCAAUCCCUUCCAGCAGCAGGACCUUGGAGCGGGGUGGCAGGGGCUGAGGGCUCCUGGGGUGCCCCAAGGAGGGCUCCUGGGGCUGUCAGCAGCACAAGAAUGAGAUCAUCCCCGUGGCAGCCCCAGGAACAUGGGCGGGUGGGAUCGGCGCGGUGGCCCUGCUGCAUCGGGCGCCUGCGGGUCCUUUGUGCGCAGAGCAGACGGGGACAUCCCUGCUCGCUGUGGGGCUCCACGGGGCCUCAUGUUGGGAUGGCUGUGUGCCCCCCAGGACCCCCUGGCAGCUCACAGCCCACCUACAGGAGAGCUGGGGGGAACUUGUUACAAGGGCAGGUAGCGACUGGACGAGGGGAAACGGCUUUGAAGUGGGAGAGUGUAGGUUGAGAGCAGCGACUGGGAAGAGAUUCCUGGACAGGUUCCCCAGCGAGUUUGUGACUGUCCCCUCCCUGGAGGCCUUCAAGGCCAGGCUGGAUGGGGCUGUGAGCAGCCUGGUCUCGAGGGAGGUGUCCCUACCUGCAGCAGGGGGUUGGAACGAGGUGAUCUCAGAGGCCCCUUCCGAAACAAACCAUUCUGCCAAUCUAUGAGACUAUAUACAGUUUUUAUUCGAGUUACAAAAAUAAACUGUAUUACUAUGUGACUGAGUAUGGCUUUCAGUUAAGUAUACAUCAUUUCAGCCACAGGAGUCUAUGCAACUAUGUACAGUUUUUCUCUUAAUUACAAAACUAAACUGUACAUGAAACAGAACAUUACAAAUAUGGCACAAACGAGCCAUUUAAAUUUCUGAUAACGCUUAGAACUGUGACUGUUUUUGCUGUUUGGUUAUGAAUACAUCAUUUCUGCCAUGGCAGACAUUUUCUUUGGUAUAUGCAGAUGGUGUUCCAGGUACCCUGCCAGGUCUUCCACAGUCACGUCACUGACAUAAGCGUGAGCCUCCACAGAACGGGAUGCGGGAGGGCUGCACAGGGCUGUUUCACAGAUGGAUCUGUGAAGCGUGGAUAAGGAAAGGAAAAGUGAGGUUUGGCUGUUGUGUGAGUCAGAGUGAGACGAUGAGGGCAGAGCGAGGCAGUUCUCCCGUGACUUCCCCACAGGCCCCGCAGCGGUGGUUCAGCAGAGGUUCAGCUGUGGCUCUUCUGCCAUGGCUGGCCUCAAAGUGAGGACUGUGUCUGUCCUCUGUGCCGUGUUCUGCUGUAGCACAAACACUGGAACGGACGUGAGUCUUUGGUGUGUGUGACCGGGUUUUGUGUUUUGUGCCGCAGUGCGUAAACGUGGGAGGAUACAGGACAGGAGACCGGAACGUCCGUGCCGUGAGAGACCGGCCGGUCCUCCUGCAGUCCUCUCACACCUGCAGGGUCAGAACAGGUGAACAGGUAGGUAAAUACGGGACCUGUGCCGUUGCUCACGCAGCUCUGUGGCGUGGCUCAUGGCACCUAACGUGGGUGUUGCUCUUUUCUUUUUGCUUCCAAGACUGAGACGGCUGUUGGUGUGCAGUCCCUGACAGGAGCAGCGGAAGAGCCUUAAGGAAGCGGGGCUCUCCCAGAAGAGAGAGGCACGCAAACACUGCUGCUGUAAAGGGCAGGUGAGGAAGACGGAGCUUUAGCCGGGAAGCCUUUUCAAAGCCCCUUGCCACGGUAACAAUGAGCUCUCCAAGCACCGCACAAGUUCAGAAGAAAGCCGGAGAGGAUUUCUGACCAAAGCCAAGAUGAUCUCAUCACCCUGUAUGUGCAUCACCCCAUGGCUGUACGUGACCCACAGCCCUGGGUGAACCACACCCCCACAAGACCCUGUGACUCCCUGACCCUUCCUGCCCCUAACAUGCUGCGACCCGAUGCCAUGUGGCCCCAGAACUCUGGGAUCCCUGCCCCCACCUCAACCCAACCAACCCAACUCAACCAACCCAACGGGAGCAGAAGGAACUCACUGAGGAGAGUGAAGUAACGCCACAGCAAUCAGGAAGGAGCUUUGCUGUUGCACAGAGAGCUGUGCCUGAUGGAACAUCAGGGAUGAGAGCGUUUCUUGCACACCCCACACGCACGUGGGGGGAUGUGCUAGGACGUGGGGAAGCCGUACGGGGUGGUGGGGCAGUUAAAGGACGCCUAUGGGAGGGGUACAGGGGCACUUUGGGGCAGCUAUGGGGCAGAGCCACACCUAGGAGCUGCCUUGACCCAACACACAGCUUGUGGUGGAACUGCUGCUGGCCAUGGGCCGUGGGCAGUGAUGGCGCUGCUCUAGGAUGGCUCUGGGGCUGCUAUGGUUCAUACUCAUGGAAUCUCUUCCUUAGC
ensembl:lncRNA